UACGAAGGGGGCUAGCGUUGUUCGGAUUUACUGGGCGUAAAGCGCACGUAGGCGGACUAUUAAGUCAGGGGUGAAAUCCCGGGGCUCAACCCCGGAACUGCCUUUGAUACUGGUAGUCUUGAGUUCGAGAGAGGUGAGUGGAAUUCCGAGUGUAGAGGUGAAAUUCGUAGAUAUUCGGAGGAACACCAGUGGCCGAAGGCGGCUCACUGGCUCGAUACUGACGCUGAGGUGCGAAAGCGUGGGAGCAAACAGG
rnacentral:rRNA from 1 species